GUACAUUCAAAAAAGAAAGAAGUCUGGAAUAAGAUUGCAUGGGUGAGCAAGAAAAGUGGGUCCAUUUUCCAGCUAUAUAUACACAGCCAUGACUUAAUAUUGUAUCAGCUCAAGGCCUAACCCUAACCCUAACAUCCCUCUGCUUCUUCCUUCAUACCUUAUCAAUGUCAGGGACGUCAGGCUCACAAGAGGAGAAAAAGACUGUUAGCAUUCGGAUGGACAAAAUCGGUUGCCUCGAAAUCAAUAUUACCGUUACUGGAAAAGAAAUUGAGCUGAAGAAAGAUGGAGUCACCCAGUCAGAAAUCAAAUAUGAGAAGAAUCUACAAAUAAUCAUCCGAGACCCCAUGCCAGGCCCCAAGCGAAAUUCCAAGAAAACUAUAAAUUAAAUGCAAGAAGCGUAUCAUUUAUGGAAAUAUUAUUGAAGACAUGAAGAUAUUUGACUUUUAUUGUAUAUAAAAUAAUGGUUAUUGUCUUCUAUGGUAUAUAAGAUUAUUUUAUUUUUCUUUUAUUGUUUUUAUAUAUAAUACGAUUGUAUCUUUUAAAGAAUAUACAACGAAAAAUAUAUUCUUGAUGUCA